UGUGCAUGUGUGACACAGGGACACAUCAGCUCCUCAAUCGCGCCUGUCUGAGGGACAGAAAAUGUGUUGUAGGGAUGUAACCGAAUACGAAUACAUUAUUUUAAAUGAACAGAUAAUGCAUUCUAAAAGGAUACAAAUAUAGAUAAAACUAUUUGGCGUGCUAUUCAUUUUAUUAAAAAAGCUUUAGACUAGAGGUGUGCAUCAGGACUGCGAUCAUGUGGGACACGUGCUGGAGGUUUUUACUUUCAUAUGGAUCACCAAGCGAAUGGUCAGGUCUUCCUCUCCUGGUAUUGAUGUCCGUCACUGAGCUCCGGCGCUCUCAGCCACAGCUUUUUGAUUAGGCCUGUGGAUAGAAUCCUUGCGAGCGUCAAAUCCCUGCGCAGGAAUCGCGCGCCAACAAGACAUUGACGGAUGUCUUUUUCGGUCGUCAGGAGAGUGGUUGUCGUAGCGACGCUGACAUGCUGUUGCCGUGCUGCAUGGCUGCCCGUGCCACCGGGGAACACACGCAAACACACAAGAACGCACUUGGAUACACACCGUCUGCUUUCGGAAAAAAAGAGUAAGGACAAGUGGAAAACGUGGAAAGAACGUUUUGCAGAAGUCAGCAGCGCUGUUAAUAGACACAAAUCUCUUCAUACUUCACCUCACUCUCUCUCUUUAGCAUUAGGAGAGAUUAAAGAAGCAAAGUAGUGGGGAUGAAGUGGCAGGUAGGCAUGUAGUCCAUCGUUGUGCCCCUCCUUCAUGCCAACGCUAAGCGGGCAAAAUGCUCAUCCAGGUGAGAGCUGCUUUCAGAGCGAAGAGUUUACAACUCUAAUCCUACCUAAUCGAAUUCAGGAGCAUUUAACGCACGUUAACCACACACGUGCGCACACACACACACACACACACACACACACACACACAUACACACACACGCACAAGGGCAUAUAUGAAAGUAAAACACACAUACACAUACAAAAUUUAUGCACUCUCAUGUGUGUAAGUAGUUACAAAAUCCCAGAGUUCUUCUCUAAAAUGAAAUAAAAAAAUAAAUGAAAUACGUGUACUUGUCUUCUUUACCUACCUUCAAAAAAAAGGUUGAUACUACGAUCAAGAUCUGUCACAAUAAUUAACA